rnacentral:lncRNA from 1 species
AUCAAAAGAAUCUCAAGGGCAGAAUAGUAAAAAUAUCGAGAGUUCAAACAAAAGAUGUAUAAAUAACAAUUCUGAACUGACUGAUAGCAUCAAGUAUUUUAGAUGUGAUAAAUCUCAUGGUAAAAACUUUUGUCUCUAAAACACUGGUGCAUGCUUUGGUUGUGGUCAAAAGGAUCACAAAAUAGCUAAAUGCCCAUAAAGAAUAGGAAGUGAUCAGUCUAUUCUGAUAAUUGAAUAAAAUCAAGAUGGAAACCUCGAACCCU